rfam:Schistosoma rodhaini strain Burundi genome assembly, scaffold: SROB_scaffold0001499
AUCUAGCUGACGAGUCCCAAAUAAAACGAAACGCGCGUCCUGGAU